UACGUAGGGUGCUAGCGUUAUCCGGAAUCACUGGGCGUAAAGCGUGCGUAGGCGGCUUGUUAAGUGAGAUGUGAAACCGUGUGGCUCAACCAUAUCGUUGCAUUUCAUACUGGCAGGCUAGAGGACGGCAGAGGCAAGUGGAAUUGGUAGUGUAGCAGUGAAAUGCGUAGAUAUCUGGAGGAACACCGGUGGCGAAGGCGGCGUUCUGGACUGCAACUGACACUGAUGAACGAAAGCCAGGGGAGCAAACGGG
rnacentral:rRNA from 1 species